CGCUCUAGAGAUAGAGUCUUCCCCUUCGGGGGACAAAGUGACAGGUGGUGCAUGGUUGUCGUCAGCUCGUGUCGUGAGAUGUUGGGUUAAGUCCCGCAACGAGCGCAACCCUUAAGCUUAGUUGCCAUCAUUAAGUUGGGCACUCUAAGUUGACUGCCGGUGACAAACCGGAGGAAGGUGGGGAUGACGUCAAAUCAUCAUGCCCCUUAUGAUUUGGGCUACACACGUGCUACAAUGGACAAUACAAAGGGCAGCUAAACCGCGAGGUCAAGCAAAUCCCAUAAAGUUGUUCUCAGUUCGGAUUGUAGUCUGCAACUCGACUACAUGAAGCUGGAAUCGCUAGUAAUCGUAGAUCAGCAUGCUACGGUGAAUACGUUCCCGGGUCUUGUACACACCGCCCGUCACACCACGAGAGUUUGUAACACCCGAAGCCGGUGGAGUAACCAUUUAUGGAGCUAGCCGUCGAAGGUGGGACAAAUGAUUGGGGUGAAGUCGUAACAAGGUAGCCGUAUCGGAAGGUGCGGCUGGAUCACCUCCUUU
rnacentral:rRNA from 1 species